rnacentral:rRNA from 1 species
AACGAACGCUGGCGGCAUGCCUAACACAUGCAAGUCGAACGAGACCUUCGGGUCUAGUGGCGCACGGGUGCGUAACGCGUGGGAACCUGCCUUUAGGUUCGGAAUAACUCCCCGAAAGGGGUGCUAAUACCGAAUAAUGUCUUCGGACCAAAGAUUUAUCGCCUUUAGAUGGGCCCGCGUUGGAUUAGCUAGUUGGUGGGGUGAAGGCCUACCAAGGCGACGAUCCAUAGCUGGUCUGAGAGGAUGAUCAGCCACACUGGGACUGAGACACGGCCCAGACUCCGACGGGAGGUAGCAGUGGGGAAUAUUGUACAAUGGGCGAAAGCCUGAUCCAGCAAUGCCGCGUGAGUGAUGAAGGCCUUGGGGUUGUAAAGCUCUUUUACCCGGGAUGAUAAUGACAGUACCGGGAGAAUAAGCUCCGGCUAACUCCGUGCCAGCCGCCGCAGUAA